CUGCUUGUUUCAGCAGCACACAUACUAAAAUUAGAACCACACAGAGAAGAUUAACAUGGCCACUGUGUGGGGAUGAUAGGUAAUUCAUGAAGCAUUGCGUAUUUUC